GUCAAAAAGACGGGUCUCCAAAGCCAACGGUCUCCUGUACCAUGUGGAUCUCUGCAAGCAGAGCCUCAUCUUUCAGUUUCAGCUGCAUGAGAGGAAGGAAGGGAAGGACGUUUGUCAUGCCUGAUACAGCUAUGUAGAGACCCCUACAUAGCUGUGGGGCCACAGCUAAAGGUCGUAAUUCCUUGGGAUGGAAUUGGCCUUUCCUAUAUUCCCUACCUCAUGGAAAUGCCAUGAAAGGAACUCAGAACAUUUUGCUGGUUACAUGUUCACUUUAUGAAAAUUCAUCAAGUGAAAAAGUUUGCUGACCCUUGGACUAGACUAACACCUUCAUUUUACACAUGAGGAAAAUAAGGCCCAGUAAGUUAACGACAAAACUAGGACCAUCACUCAGGAAUACUGAUUCCCAGGCCAUCUGUCCUUCUAUUAAACCAAAUUCUCUAAAGAAGUACAAAAAAAGAACCCCCAUGGUAACCUGUGGGUUAUUAUUCCAAAUCCAGCAUCCCUGUGAUAAUGGCAAAGAUGGUAAGAAAAGCCUCUAGAAAAAUAAUAUGAAAUGCUGUAAAGGCCUGAAUUAAACCAGCACCUUCCUCCCAGUUUUCCAGCCUCAAUACAGAACAAACAGCAGAGGCACCUGCAUCAUACCUUCACUGUGUACUUGUAGGCCUGCUCAGCUUCCAGCUGCCGUCCAGCCUGAAAAAGGAGAAGCACCUGGUGGUAAUGACAUAAACAUGGUGGGGAAGUGCAUUGCCACAAACAUUUCUGCCUAAAGCAGAGAAUUCCACAUCUUAGUUAAGAAUCUUUGAAUUUAUAUAUAUCUAUGAAAAAAAUCUCUCCACUUCAAAAAGCUUAAAGACAACACAGCAUUUUUUCCUUUCAGAGUUUAUUUAAAUUAUUCUGCUAAUAAUAGCUAAUACAUAGUGCUUACUUUGUGGUUUACAUUGUUUUAAUUGUUUAUAUUGCUGUAAGUGCUUUACAUACUCUCACUCCUAACCCUCAAAACAAACCUAGGGUAUAACGUCUAUUCCUAAUUCCUGGUUUACAGACAGAGAAACCUAAACACAGUAACUUACCAGGGUGUCUUGUGCCAGUCUCAGACUAUGAAAAGUAUUAAAAGAAAAAAUUCAUGCAAGUAAA